GUGACAUCAUGGCAGGUGGUGUAAGCACAGGGUCACCGCACAUCUAAUGUGACACAACUAUCACCCUCAGUGAUCUAUGGCGCUGCCGGUCACCAUCCUGCAGUACCAUCAUAUAAUGUCCGGAUAAAGGAUCAGUUUUGUUGUAUAUGUAGGAUCCUCUGCUUAUAAUUCUCCUGACCCAACAAGGAUGAAGAGAGACAGGAACAAGAUGGCCGACAGGAUCAUAAACCUCACCCUUCAGAUACUCUUCCGGCUUACUGGAGAGGAUUACACAGUAGUGAAGAAGUCCUCUAGUAGGUGCUGUCGGGCCCCUGUGUGUGAAGGACGGGGAAGAACCCUGAGCCCAAUCCCGGGGCCCCCACCUCACUCCCUGAUACAUGAGGAAAUGGAUGAACAGAAGAUCCUAGAACUGAUCAACAA